GAAUCCAAAGGGAUCUUCUCCGAAGAGGCCGCGGUCUCUCACGAGGAGUAGAUCCGAUGUGAAUGAGUGAAGCUCUAUCUCUCAAAAUGAGCUAAACCAACGCUAACCCUAGUACGGAGCUAAGGGACAAGUAUUUAUAGUCCAAGGGGUAAGUUGGGGGAUACAUGGGGUGAAACCCUUGUCGCUGCGCGCAGGCAGGGCGGUUGUACCGGUCAUGGGCCGGUUGUACCGCUGGGAGCUCAGGUACUGGUUCCUGGAGGCGUUUCCGGAUGUGCUCAGCGGUUGUACCGGUGCUUGGGGCGGUUGUACCGGUCAGGUGGCUGUUGCAGGGAUAAACCGGUGUUGUACCGGCCUUGCACCGCUUGAUGUCAGAAGCUUGACCGGUAGUUGACCGGUGGUCGAGCGGUUGUACCGCCCGGGCGGUAGUUGGGCGGUGCAUGGGCGGUUGUUCCGGGGUUUCUGAGCUGGGAUGAUGUUCUUCGUGCUCUUGAUGUCCUUCUUGCAUCGUGACUUCUCCUGGGUUGCUUACUUGAUACCUAAGCACACAAAGCAUCUUCGUUUGAGGUAGUAGCCAUGUCUCAAGUGGGUCAAAGGGAAGUUCAACAAGGAGAGAGUUAACCUCAUUCUCAAUGGCUCUCGCACGGGCUCUUGUCAUUGGUCCAAAUGGUGUCAUGGGAGAUGUAGGUAGGUCCAUGAGGAUGACCUUGGGAUGCUCCGCAUCAGGUACCUU